UACGUAGGGGGCGAGCGUUGUCCGGAUUUAUUGGGCGUAAAGAGCGUGUAGGCGGUUCGGUAAGUCUGUCGUGAAAUCCUGAGGCUCAACCUCGGGCGUGCGAUGGAUACUGCCGGGCUAGAGGGUGGUAGAGGCGAGUGGAAUUCCCGGUGUAGCGGUGAAAUGCGCAGAUAUCGGGAGGAACACCAGCGGCGAAGGCGGCACUCUGGGCUGGAACUGACGCUGAGGAGCGAAAGCGUGGGUAGCAAACAGG
rnacentral:rRNA from 1 species